UUACAGAACGGCCAUCCGAUCUGCCAAAACGUGUACAGUUUGUAGAUCUGUGAUUAAAGCAGCCAUUUCGAGGCGAAAGAAUUGGUUUGGACGAGCUCUAGCUGUGCAGUGGAUUUAGUGAAUAUCACGAAAACGCAAGCGCUUUCGUAUUGAAAUAUAUCUGGAAUAAAAUAUACAACAUAUAAGGUUAGUACUAACAUCUAAUGCAACAUAUAUCGCUUACCUAACUUAUAAUUUCGUGGAGUAUUCAUUUUGCUGCGUCUUUAAUCUGCGCAAUAUAAUUUUGCGCACUUUUAACACUCUAUUAUUGCACAAACUUCACGAAUUUGCAUUGGUUUGGUCAGAGGACUGAUCAUAUAAUUCUACCUCAGUCGCUUGUGAGAAGAACGCGUCCAGUUUAACUGUACCAAAUACCGCCAGUUUUCUCCAAAUGUUCGGUUUCCUCCUGUAAUAACACUGGGUGAACAAGAGAUGAUUCUUACUGGACAUGUAGGCAGAACAGUUUAGAACUGAUGGAGCGCUCCAGUAUAAAUAAAGUUAGUUCAGUUUAGGUUUCCUCUUGUGGUAACACUCGAUCAAUAACAGAUGAUCCUUACUGGACCCUAUAAGGAGAACUGUUUAGAACUGACAGAGCUAUCCAGUGACCAGUAUAAAUAAAGUUAGUGUAGUUUAGGUUUCCUCCUGUAGUAACACUGGAUCAGUAAGAAACGAUCCUCACUGGACCUCUAGGAAGACUGACAGUUUUGAUAGAGCUAUAUCCAGUAUAAAUAAAGUUAGUUUAGUUUAGUUUACCUCCUGUAGUAACACUUGAUCAAUAAGAGAUGAUCCUUACUGGACCUCUAGGCAGAACAGUUUAGAACAGAUAGAGCUAUUGCUAUCCAGUAUACAUAAAGUUAGUUUAGUUUAGUUUUCCUCCUGUAGUAACACUGGAUCAAUAAGAGAUGAUCCUUACUGGACCUCUAGGCAGAACAGUUUAGAACAGAUAGAGCUAUUGCUAUCCAGUAUAAAUAAAGUUAGUUUAGUUUAGGUUUCCACCUGUAGUACCACUGCAUCAAUAAGGGAUAAACCUUGCUGGACCUCUAGGAAGAACAAUUUAGAACUGAUAGAACUAUCCAGUAGGCUAUAAAAAGAGUUCGUUUAGUUCAGGUUUCCUCUUACUACAACACUGGAUCAAUAAGAGAAGAUCCUUACUGGACCUCUAGGGAGAACAAUUUAGAACUGGUAAAGCUAUUUAUAAAUAAAGUUAGCCGGUUUAGUUUGUCCUCCUGUAGUAACACUGUAUUAAUAAGAGAUGAUCCUUACUGGAUGUCUAUAGGAAGAACAACUUAGAACUGAUAGAGCUAUCCAGUAUAAAUAAAGUUAGUUUAGUUCGGUUUCCUCCUGUGGUAAAUCUCAAAAAUACCGUUUGGAUUCGAUCCCCGGUGCUGUGUGUCAACUGAGCUUAAAAUAAUUAAAUUUUUUCAUUGAAAAAUUAGUUGUUACACGUAUCCAAGUUUCUCGACCGCAAUAUUAAACUUUUCCCAAUGGGGGUCCAAUCUAGGCAGUAUUCUACAAUAAAUUAACGUUUUAAUUGAGUUCCGUAACUGCAUAUAGGCAUAGCAUUGAUUGUGGCUGAACGAAUAUUCUGGGCUUCAUUAGUCUGAUCACUCCGCAUAUAGUAAUCUUAUAUCGGCUUCAGUGGCAUUUAUACCGACACCUGCUCUAUGAUUAUAAUCUUAGUAAAGACGGCUAGACCAAUUAUGCAUGAAUGGCUAGCUCUAUCAGUUCUAAACUGUUCUCACUAGAGGUUCAAUAAGGAUUAUCUCUUAUUGAUCCAGUGUUACCACAUGCAGGAGGAAACCUAAACAAAACUAACGUUAUUUAUACUGGAUAGCUGUAUCAGUACUAAACUGUUCUUCCUAGAGGUCCAGUAAGAGUCAUCUCUUACUGAUCCAGUGUUACUACAGGAAGAAACCUAAACUAGACUAACUUUUUAUACUGGACAGCUCUAUCAGUUCUAAACUGUUCUUCCUAGAGUUCCAGUAAGGAUCAUCUCUUAUUGAUCCAGUGUUACCACAGGAGGAAACCUAAACAAAACUAACUUAUUUAUACUGGACAGCUCUAUCAGUUUCUCCCUAAACUGUUUCCCCUAGAGCCCGUAGGGUUCAGUAAGGAUCAUCCCUUAUUGAUCCAGUACUACAGGAGGAAACCUAAACUAAACUAACUUUAUGUAUAACUGGAUAGCUCUAUCAGUUCUAAACUGUUCUUCCUAGAGGUCCAGUAAGGAUCGUCCCUUAUAGGUCCAGUGUUACUACAGGAGGAAAUCUAAACUAAACUAACUUUAUUUGUACCGGAUAGUUCUAUUAGUUCUAAACUACAGGAGGAAAUCUAAAACUAGCGCUAUACUGUUCUACUUGUAUAUUAAUGUUACGUGAAUUAUAGGAUUCCUCUAUCACGUAAUUAAAAUACUGCGGUUGAUGUCAUCCUCUGAUACUGUCGUUUUCUAGACGUCUAACUUCACCAGAUGAUAAAUGGUUAUUUGAUCGCAAGUGAAAACCAUAUUUUAGGUAACUUUGUUAUCUGUAGCCUUUUAAGUGCAUUUUAUCUUGUUACAUGAGAGUGAGGUGGCUUUGUGCGCGCUAAUGCAUAUUGUGUGUUCAUAUGGUUUAAAUGUUUGCCCGUCUGCAUGAUGACUGAUCGAGCUAUGUCCAGUAUAAAUAAAAUUAGUUUAGUUUAGGUUAGGUUUCCUCCUGUAGUAACACUGGAUCAUAACUAGCUUACUGGACUUCUAGGAAGAACAGUUUAAAACUAUUCAGUAUAAAUGUAGUUAGUUUAGUAACUUUAGUUUAGUUUAAUUUAGGUUUUCUCCUGUAGUAACACUGGAUCAAUAAGAUAUGACUCUUAGUGUACCUCUAGGAAGAACAGUUCAGAAUUAAUAGAGCUAGCUAAUCAGUAUAAACAAAGUUAGUUUAGUUUAGGUUUCUUCCUGUACUGGAUCAAUAAGAGAUAAUCCUUGCUGGACCUCAAUGGAGAACAGUUUAGAACUAUAUAUAAAUAAGGCGGUUAGUUUAGUUUAGGUUUCCGUCUGUAGUAACACUGGAUCAAUAAGAUAUGAUUCUUACUGGACCUCUAGAGAAAACAGUUCAGGACUAAUAAGUAGAGCUAUCCAUUCUAAAUAAAAUUAGUUUAGUUUAGGUUUUCUUAUACUGUGUCAAUAUAUAGUCUGCGCGCAGGCUAAGGUUUCCUAAGUAUUCUAUUAAAAAUCUUAUCACUUGGAAAAGUACGCAGUUUUUCUCAAUCAUGAAACGAGAUAUAUUUCCUUUUAUCCGGUCACACCAAAGCGAAACACGUAAACAGAACAGAUGACUCUUACUGAAGCUCUAAGGAGAAUAGUGAGCUAUCCAGACUAUCCAGUAUAAAUAAACUUAGCUUUCCUAAGCGUCUGACUGGCUUCGUUGGAUGACAAAUGAACAUUUGAUUACAAGUGGGGAGCAUACUUUAAGCCAAGCAAUUUUCGUAUCUUAAAAUGAUUCUUAUCUUGAGUUCUGUUUACGUGUUUCGCUUUGGUGUGACCGGAUAAAAGGAAAUAUAUCUCGUUUCAUGAUUGAGAAAAACUACGUACUUUUCCAAGUGAUAAGAUUUUUAAUAGAAUACUUAAAGGAAACCACAGGAUUUGAUGAACAAUAUUUCAGUUCCAAAAUUUAACCGCCGACGCAUUUAUUGCAUCAAACAAAGCGAUAUGUAUAAAUCGUCUUCAGACAUGGCCCUCCCUGUUUUAGAGACGAGCCAGCCCGCCGGCUAGGCGGGGUUUCAUAUCCCAGCAAGAUGAGAUAGUAAAACUGUCUGUACCAGUGUAGGUAGUACCAAUGUAGAAAUGCUGUGCUGAGUGGUUAUAUUACUAUACCUUAAAAAAUAAGCAGAAACUCGACGUUUCGAGCGAAGGCCCUUCGUCAAGAGUUAGUAGACAACUAACUCUUAGUACUCCGAGUAGGCUACUAACUCUUGACGAAGGACCUUCGCUCGAAACGUCGAGUUUCUGCUUAUUUUUUAAGGUAGUAAUAUAACCAAACAGCACAGCAUUUCUAUAUGAGAUAGUACACUAUAUAUACCGGAUAUAGGUUUCCGUAGCGGCGCGAAAAAACACUGACCUAUCUGAUACGGAAUGUUCAGAAACUUUCAGAAGCUGCAUGAGCGAAACAACAUCCCACGGCCGUUGCGAUAAUUCCUCUGAAAAUAGCGUUCUGAAUAAAAUAGGUGUUUUUCACUUCGCUACAGAACGUUAUCCGAUAUACGUUGUAAACAUAGCCUCUGUCAAGUAGGGGAAAAAUUUGCAUAUGAUGAACGCUUUAGCCUGCGGGUUACCAUAUGAUCGUAAUGGUCGGGAAAAUAGAGUCACGACCUUUCUCAACGGCCAGUUUAUAAUAAUAGUUUAUACCUGUAAACCACAUAUACCCUAAAUGUCUAGACAAAAAGAACGAAGUCCAUCACCAUAUAGCUGGAAAGAGCAUCUUAAAAUAAGCAAAACAGUUGCAAAGCUUGGUUGCGAAUUGCUGUAUAAAAUGAGGAAAAUAUAGCCCUGUGAAGUUCGCAAAUUUUCGGUAUAUAUUUGCAUUACGCGCGGUAAAAACAACCAUUUUUGAGCCGAAAGUACAAAAUUUGCGAACUUCACAGGGCUAUAUAUUCUUCAUUUCAGGGACGCCGGAACGAUCAUAAGGCAAAGGGGGGCGGACCCACAGCAAGGGCACUUCUCUAAAGCAAAACUUGGAAAUCUUCCGAAAUUUUUUUUUUAUCAAAAAAUUUCGGCGACCUCCCCCCCCCCACCUGUCGCCCCGUUUGGUCAGUGUACCAUUUUAGGGGUCAAAAAUUUUUUCCGGACAUACCAUAAGUGAAAUAUAAACUGUAAAUUGUCUGAAUCUUAUAAUUUUCGUACAAAAACCAUUGUUCGAAAUGUGAUUUAUCACGGGGUUUUUUAUAACUAAAGGGCACUUCUGCCCCCCUGCCCCCCCCUAGCAAAAGGCAAGGGGGGCAGCCACCCCUCCUGCCCCCCAGUUCCGGCGUCCCUGCUUCAUUUUACAACAUUUAGCAACCGAUCUUUGCAGUUUUAACUUUUUAUUCAUUCUAAGCCGCUCUUUUUUAGCUGUGGUGUUGGAUUUCGUUCUUAUUCAGCCUUGAUCAAAAUUUAGUCUAUAGCUCAUGGAUUCACCGAUUGGAUUUUAUAUGCGUUAGGCCACAUAAAAUAAAUUCCUUGAUUCUCAUCACUACACUUUGAAAAUGUCGAAGGGGCGGGAGGUUUAUAUUUUAUAUUUUAUAUUUAUAUAAUUUAAUAUAUAUCAAUAAAUAAAAGUGUCACAAACUGAAAUAAACAUAUUUCUCCACGAACAAUGACUGGUCCUUGAACUGAAUGCGAAGUUCCGUUAAAAUGCAAUUAAAUUUCUUUCAAAGUUCUACUUGUUUGAAAUUGGCAGUUUAAAAUGGCACUAAAAACCCAAUAUAAAAUAUAAAAAACUUAACUGUCUUGAAAUAUUUUGUCGGGCGGUACAUUUAUAUUGUAUAACAAAAUAUAAAAAAAAUUCACGCGGCUCUUAAAAUACAGUUGGGCGGUGAUGAGAAUCAAGGAAUUUAUUUUAUGUGGCCUUAACAAAAGGCAUGCAAAUCUCACUCAAUAGUUCAGUAGCUGAGCUCAUAUGAACAAUUCCUAAUGGGGUGAUAAAUUUAUCAAUACAUCUAAAUGAAGGAAACGUGGGCUAUACAUUUAGUUAGGCCUUGACGUUCAUCCGUAGCGCGUAAUUUCGCCGCAUUUCUUAAAAUUGUGAUAAAACUUGUUACCUUGACCGAACAUGGUUGCGCACAGCAAGAUUGUGUUCGUGUAAGCGCGUCUGAGGAUUGCCACUAACAUCUGCUUGUACUUUGUCGAAUAACGCAAACAUUUUUAUAAUUCUAUUUUGCCUUCAAACUGCCGGUAAUUAUAAGAUAAGGUAAGAUCUGCAGACAAGUGCUAAUAGAAAUAUGUUCAUUAUUAUGUUUUUGCUUGCAGAUGACGCGUUGUCGACACGAGUAAACAGCAAAGGUGUAUUAAAGACUGUGGUUUUGCUUUCGAAAAGCGAACUGAUUGUUUUCGCGGU
rnacentral:lncRNA from 1 species